AUAUGGGAUACACGGUGAAUUCUUUCAGGUACGGAAGGGGGAUUAAAUGAGGGCACCCACCUGAGCUAGGUGGGUCGUGGGUCCAGCUGAGUAUAGGGCAGCUUGCUGUGUCUCUCUGUGUUUCUGCUAAGCAUGUAGAUGUCUCCACUGCAGGGGGUGGAAUAGAUGGCCCUUGAGGUCCCCUCCACCUCUACAAUUCUGGUUUCAUGCCAAUUGAUGGUCGGGCAGAAAACAAUCCUCUCUGGCUGCGUUCCCUGGCAAAGCCAGAGAUUUAAACCAAGGACCUUCUGCAUGCAAAGCAGCUGCUCUUCUGCUGAGUGAUGGGAGUGUGGGGCUGUCAAGCUGCAGUUCCAGAUCCGCCAACGCUUCUCUUUUCCCUUUCCAACGUACAGUAGCGGUUCAGUGCUGGCAGAUACAACGGUACGCUUCCAGGAAAGUGCAGGUGUUUCCGCCUAUAAUCUCAGCACUGCUCUGAGCGACGCACCUGAAGACAAACGGCAGGGUCUCAACCUGACUCAGAUCGAAGUGACCGAGCAGGAGACGCCAACGACGCCUUCUCCCACCACAGCUAGCACCAGCUCAAAGACAACCACACCUAAGCCCCCCAAAGAGAAAACGUUCACCAUCACUUACCACAUCACAAUGAAUUUUACUGAGGACUUGUUGGAUUCGUCCUCCGAAGCAUACCAGAACCUGACUGGGAAUAUCGGGAAGAUGUAUGAGGAAGUUUUCAACUGC